CCUACGGGUGGCAGCAGUGAGGAAUCUUGGUCAAUGGACGAGAGUCUGAACCAGCCAAGUCGCGUGAAGGAUGAAUGCCCUCUGGGUUGUAAACUUCUUUUAUAUGGGAAUAAAAUGUUCCACGUGUGGGAUAUUGUAUGUACCCUAUUAAUAAGGAUCGGCUAACUCCGUGCCAGCAGCCGCGGUAAUACGGAGGAUCCGAGCGUUAUCCGGAUUUAUUGGGUUUCAAGUGAGCGUAGGUGGAUUGUUAAGUCAGUUGUGAAAGUUUGCGGCUCAACCGUAACAGUGCAGUUGAAACUGGCAGUCUUGAGUACAGUAGAGGUGGGCGGAAUUCGUGGUGUAGCGGUGAAAUGCUUAGAUAUCACGAAGAACACCGAUUGCGAAGGCAGUUCACUGGACUGCAACUGACACUGAGGCUCGAAAGUGUGGGUAUCGAACAGGAUUAGAUACCCGAGUAGUC
rnacentral:rRNA from 1 species